AAGUAUAUGUACUAAUUCAAAAAUAGACUUUGAAUCAUGAAUCCAGAAUCAUUUUGAAUAGAAAAUAGAUUCUCAAUCAAAUCGUGACACACUCGAAGAUCCCUCACAUGGGCCACCCCGGUCAAAGAAGUCUGGACCCCCCACUGCACAUGUUGCGUCAUAUCAUUUAGUUUGGUUGUGUCUUAAUGUAGUGUGCCAUCAGUAAUGUAUUUGUGACCAUGAGCUUUUAGCUUGUGAGUACCAUGAGCGCCCUCUGCUGGGGCCCCUGCAGACAUGCGUGAUGAGCCCCGUGCCCUGUUGCCAGGUUACACUCUCCGUGGUGAGUUGACUUAUUAAGAGCUCCGCUAAAAAACGAUGAAAUAAGUCAGUUUUUCUGAGUAAAAGUAAGUUUUAUUAAUGUGCCAUGUUUCAGAGAUCCUCUUAAAAUAAUUAUCAAAGACUUUUGUGGUGAUAUUGAUUUGUUUUAGUUGAGUUAUUUCAACUCUCCAUGUUUUUAUGCUUUUCUAGCUGAGUUUCAGCGUCAUCAUUUGUUGUCGUGGUGUAGCUGACUUCACCAACAGUUAGCUUGAUUUUCUGCUCUCUGUUUGAGUAAAUACUGAAGCUUACUACCAAAGAAGUGGCUGUGACAGAGGCCUACAUUUUAUAUACACGUUAAAUGUUUGUCCUGUCUGCAUUAUCCUGUCCCUGUGUGAAUGUUAGAGCUGUUAACCACCAAAGUGUCUGUGUGAGCGUGCUCAUCUUUCUUCUGUUAUUAUCAGAAUAAACGGCUGCUGGUGCCAAAAGUGAGUUUUUAUACCUGGUUCAUCAUAAUACAAUGCUCCAGGAAUUCUUUCACUGAUCCUGAAGAAAAUACAAGAGUUUCUUUUCCAUUCACCGUAUUCUAAGAUAUUUCUCUAAACAUUAACGACACCAUCUGUGCUGUGCUUUGGUCAAAAUAAAACAUGAAUCAAGCCCCAGAGCAGGUUUGUGACCCUGUAUAAACCAGCUCUCUCAGAACGCUCUGUGUGGGUGGAGAUAUGAGGGGAGGGUAUUGUUUUACCUGAAUCCAACUUGUGAUGUCACAAGGAGAGAAAAUUUGAAACGGGGAAUUUUUGUCUGUGACUUAUACAGCCCACAAUCAAAGGACUGGAUGGGUUUAUUUCACAUUUUGUGGGAUGGUAGACACUCAGGUUACCCAAAUGUAUGUUCAAAAACACUGUAGAAGUGGAUUUUUCAUGAUAUGCCCCCUUUAAGAGGCCGAAACCUCGAGCAGAUCCAGACUCAUGAUGAACAGCAGUCUGCUGAGACUGUGUCCGGGCUGGAAAGUGGGAUAGAGUGAGAUGCAGGAAGGAGAGAGACAAACAGAGCAACAACAACAACAAUAAUGCAUAUGAUAGAUUUAAAGCUACAGUGUCAGUAGUAAUGGUGAAAGUAUGUGUAGUAUUAACAGUAACAGCUCAGUGUGAUAAUAGACUGAUCUGAGGAUGUUCCUCCGUAUCCCGAGCUUGAGUUUUGACCUGAGUUGACAAGUCUUUGACUCUUUCCUGAGCCUUUGUGAGAAGAAUGUCCGAUCGGUCGAGUUGUGUGACAGUUGCUGUGAGUUGUUCAUUGAUUGCCUCUAACUCAUUUUCUUUCUUCUCAAGAGCUGUUUUGAGCUCAUUGUUACCUUCCUCACUGUCUUCCUCUUCUUUGGGUGAGUGAGGGCCAGCAUCCUGAAGUUCUGAGAUAGCUGGAGAGUGUCAUAGUUUCGUUGCAGAUGUGCAUGUCCCUCUGUUACUCGAUCUAGCAUUUUGUGGCCAUAAUUUUCUUGGGCAGUCAUGACUAUGGCCAUCUUUGCUAGCAUCUUACCUAAUUCUUUAUCAUUCAGAGGCUGAGCUAGAGCUGUUAGAACCAGGUCUGACAUCAUGUCAUGAAGGAGAGAGGGGUUAGUGUUUUCUACUUUAACCACAAAACCAGGAAUCAAUGGUUCAGUCAUAUCCACCAGAACAGACCCUAAUUGCUCCAUGGGGUCACCCAAGCCACCCUGGUCAGCGCCACUGGGGGUCUCCAUGUCUAACACUUAACAACUGAGCAAAAUAGGAGGGCGAGCAAGAGAAAAAGAAACAAUCAAAAUUUGAAAAUUGAAGUUCCACAACCCUAAAGUUUUAAACUAGAAUUUCAAAUUAAAGUCAAAUUUAAAAUUAAAAUCGAAAUCAAACUUUCAUUGUUAAGAUUUAGAUUUUAACUGGAAAUCAAAGUUUAAAAUCGAGAUCUAAAUUUAAGAUGAGAUAGUGGAUCGUAACAAAAGAGGGUUGUGACUUGAUCUGGUUAAUGUGUUUGAACUAAAGUUUGGGUCCUAGGAAGCAAAAUUAAAAAUAAGAAGUAAACACUGAUCAGUAGUUAUUGUUAGCAGAGGAAGGAGGGUGAGAAUAACUUUAGUUGACAACGACCAGAUUUUAAUCUGAAGGAAACAAAAUGUUUAAAUUUAAGUUUUAUUGAGACGGUUUGGGGUGAAAUAAAAUUUUACUCAAAGGAGUCUUACAGUUAUUUUUGUAUUCCCUUUUAGAAAUUCAACUUAAACCUGUGAUAAAGUACACUGCUAAAAAAAAAUAAAGGGAACACUAAAAUAACACAUCCUAGAUCUGAAUGAAUGAAAUAUUCUUAUUAAAUACUUUGUUCUUUACAUAGUUGAAUGUGUUGACAACAAAAAUCACACAAAUUAUCAAUGGAAAUCAAAUUUAUUAACCCAUGGAGGUCUGGAUUUGGAGUCACACUCAAAAUUAAAGUGGAAAAACACACUACAGGCUGAUCCAACUUUGAUGUAAUGUCCUUAAAACAAGUCAAAAUGAGGCUCUGUAGUGUGUGUGGCCUCCACGUGCCUGUAUGACCUCCCUACAACACCUGGGCAUGCUCCUGAUGAGGUGGCGGAUGGUCUCCUGAGGGAUCUCCUCCCAGACCUGGACUAAAGCAUCCGCCAAAUCCUGGUGCAACGUGGCGUUGGUGGAUGGAGCGAGACAUGAUGUCCCAGAUGUUCUCAAUUGGAUUCAGGUCUGGGGAAUAGGCGGGCCAGUCCAUAGCAUCAAUGCCUUCGUCUUGCAGGAACUGCUGACACACUCCAGCCACAUGAGGUCUAGCAUUGUCUUGCAUUAGGAGGAACCCAGGGCCAACUGCACCAGCAUAUGGUCUCACAAGGGGUCUGAGGAUCUCAUCUCAGUACCUAAUGGCAGUCAGGCUACCUCUGGCGAGCACAUGGAGAGCUGUGUGGGCCCCCCCCAAAGAAAUGCCACCCCACACCAUUACUGACCCACUGCCAAACCGGUCAUGCUGGAGGAUGUUGCAGGCAGCAGAACGUUCUCCACGGCGUCUCCAGACUCUGUCACGUGCUCAGUGUGAACCUGCUUUCAUCUGUGAAGAGCACAGGGCACCAGUGGCGAAUUUGCCAAGCUUGGUGUUCUCUGGCAAAUGCCAAACGUCCUGCACGGUGUUGGGCUGUAAGCACAACCCCCACCUGUGGACGUCGGGCCCUCAUACCACCCUCAUGGAGUCUGUUUCUGACCGUUUGAGCAGACACAUGCACAUUUGUGGCCUGCUGGAGAUCAUUUUGCAGGGCUCUGGCAGUGCUCCUCCUGUUCCUCCUUGCACAAAGGCGGAGGUAGCGGUCCUGCUGCUGGGUUGUUGCCCUCCUACGGCCUCCUCCACGUCUCCUGAUGUACUGGCCUGUCUCCUGGUAGCGCCUCCAUGCUCUGGACACUACGCUGACAGACACAGCAAACCUUCUUGCCACAGCUCACAUUGAUGUGCCAUCCUGGAUGAGCUGCACUACCUGAGCCACUUGUGUGGGUUGUAGACUCCGUCUCAUGCUACCACUAGAGUGAAAGCACCACCAGCAUUCAAAAGUGACCAAAACAUCAGCCAGAAAGCAUAUGAACUGAGAAGUGGUCUGUGGUCACCACCUGCAGAACCACUCCUUUAUUGGGGGUGUCUUGCUAAUUGCCUAUAAUUUCCACCUGUUGUCUAUUCCAUUUGCACAACAGCAUGUGAAAUUGAUUGUCAAUCAGUGUUGCUUCCUAAGUGGACAGUUUGAUUUCACAGAAGUGUGAUUGACUUGGAGUUACAUUGUGUUGUUUAAGUGUUCCCUUUAUUUUUUUGAGCAGUGUAGUUUUAUUAGGACUACAAUUGGAGGUUGUAAGUUUGAAUCACUAAAGUUGUUGUAAAGUUUGGAUUAAAGUUGGCAUUGAUGGUAAACAAAUAGUAGAAAAUGUAUUUGUUUGUUGUUUGGGGAACAACAAAGUUAAUUUUCAACUAGUGUUGGUAAUUAAAUUGAAAAUCUGUAUUAGGAAUGUCAACUGUAGUUUAAUGUUGAAGUUAACUAAAAUAAAUCAUUUUCCUAUUUUGGAGAGAGGCCUGGCUAAUUUACUUAGCGAAUCUCUCUUAAUUUUAUCCUGGAAUCUUUAUGUGAUCAGGAAGCUGUGUCAGAUAUCUGUGGGAGAUAAACCAAAAGAAAAAAAAAAAGAAGAAAAAUCAAACUCAGUUAACCAAAACAACCACUAGAUGGAGACAAAGGCGCCCAAGACUAUUUACUAAAGCAGCCCAGGAGAAAACCUAGUGCUAAAGCUCAAUUGCUUAAAACAGCCACAAGAUAGAGCUCUCGUAUCAGCUGGCCCAGAGGAGGGGUCGGCGCCCUCUACAGCCACCACCAGGGGCGGUGUGGCUCAAUUUCAACCUCUAAUGCAACGAAGAAGUGAACUUACGUCGAUGCGUUCCUACACGUUAGCUUUGCUGCUAAUGCUUAGCUUAAGGCGUGCUCACAGUUCUCACACACAACUUAUAAACAUGACCACAUUGCUUGAAUACACAGAUAGAUAGAAGUAUUGAACAUCAAUAUAGCAGAUUGGAUAGCGGGGUAGAUAGGAUUAAUUGAUAAAGGGGAAGGGUUAAUCGGUAUUGUGAAUAAACGUUUGACUAUUUUGUCUGUGUAAAUAUUAUUAUUUUACAUUAACUUGGCCUCACAUGGGGCACCAAUAUAAUAAUAAUAAGAAUCGGCAUAAAUUAACUAACCUUAGUUAAUUAAUUUAUUUAUAAAUCUGUCUCAUAUCAUUGGGGUAAAUUCUCAAUCAGUUAAAACCAUAUAAUUACACAGAAAGUACAGAAAUUUUAUAUGUGAAGUUUAAUAAAGAAAAAUGGUGAACAAAAGAUAUAUAAAGGGAGUAAAUAGGCAAAGGAUAUAAUUACGACAGUUAUACUGAUGUGACAACGUAAAUAAUAACACUGUUAUGUAUUGUUUAUAAGUUGAAAUGGUGAAGUUCUUAUGUUAGAGUUGGAGUUGAAACGCGGUAUCUUUGAUUUAACUAAGUGGGGAUUUGAGGAAGAAAACAAAAAAGGACUUAAUAACUUUGAUGGAAAGUUGAUUUGAGGCUAUGAUUGAUUGGCUUUUAUGUUAGAAAAGUCCUUAAAUUUUCUCUAAAUACUUGUAAAGCAAACUGCAUCAUCCAAAUGUGCUUUAAUGUGAUAUAACACGUGUAAUGUGUUUGGUGCGUUGAUUUUAUGAAUAUGCUGUAUGGAGGGUAAAAGGUGGCCGUAAGAAAUUGUGAAUUGAAGGCCUGUUUUCUUUUAUGUAAUUGUGGGGUUAUCCUUGAUUAAGUUCAAGUGUUUUUUGUUAAAAAUAGAAAUUUGUGAAAUACAAAACCGGUUACCAACA